UACGGAGGGAGCUAGCGUUGUUCGGAAUUACUGGGCGUAAAGCGCACGUAGGCGGCGAUUUAAGUCAGAGGUGAAGCCCGGGGCUCAACCCCGGAACUGCCUUUGAGACUGGAUUGCUAGAAUCUUGGAGAGGCGAGUGGAAUUCCGAGUGUAGAGGUGAAAUUCGUAGAUAUUCGGAAGAACACCAGUGGCGAAGGCGGCUCGCUGGACAAGUAUUGACGCUGAGGUGCGAAAGCGUGGGGAGCAAACAGG
rnacentral:rRNA from 1 species